rnacentral:rRNA from 1 species
GCGCAGCAGGCGAGAAACCUCCGCAAUACACGAAAGUGUGACGGGGCCAUCCCGAGUGCCGUCCGCUGAGGACGGCUUUUCCCCAGUGUACAUAGCUGGGGGAAUAAGGAGAGGGCAAGCCUGGUGUCAGCCGCCGCGGUAAUACCAGCUCUCCGAGUGGUGGGGACGCUUAUUGGGGCCUAAAGCAUCCGUAGACCGGCUGGGCAAGUCCUCCGUUAAAUCCAACGAUUCAAUCGUUGGGCUGCGGGGGAUACUGUCCAGCUUGGGGGCGGGAGAGGCCGACGGUA